rnacentral:lncRNA from 1 species
GCGGGAACGGAGGCGGCCCGAACAGAAGGGGGAAGGUUCCCCCCCGGCGCCCCCUCCGGGGGCCGCCCCCUCCGGGGGAGGGCGCGGCGGCGGUCCUCUCCCUCGGCCCCGGGAUUCGGCGACGAUCCGGGCCCGGCGGCUAUAACACCCGGCGGCCGCUCGCGCGGCGCCGGGCCACCUGCCCGCCGGCAGCCCUUCCCAGCCGUCCCGGAGCCGG